GGCCCAGUGGCGUAAUGGUAUUGCGUGCAGUCGUUAAUUGCAAUGUUAUUUCCUAACCACAAGCUCCUCGUUCAAUUCAAAGCUGGGCCU